CAGUAGCCGCGGGAAUACGUAGGGUGCAAGCGUUAAUCGGAAUUACUGGGCGUAAAGCGUGCGCAGGCGGUUAUAUAAGUCAGAUGUGAAAUCCCCGGGCUCAACCUGGGAACUGCAUUUGAGACUGUAUGGCUAGAGUGUGUCAGAGGGGGGUAGAAUUCCACGUGUAGCAGUGAAAUGCGUAGAUAUGUGGAGGAACACCGAUGGCGAAGGCAAUCCCCUGGACCUGUACAGACGCUCAUGCACGAAAGCGUGGGGAGCAAACAGGAUUAGAUACCCCCGUAGUCCCUGUCUCUUAUAC
rnacentral:rRNA from 1 species